UGAAUCUCCAUAACGACGCAUGGAGGACGACAAGAUGAAACAUGGUGAAAACGACAGAAAGAAGUGAACUUUCCUGUGAGUUAUGAGUGAAUGGACGUCUGCCACACUGUGGGAACGAUGGAAGAUUCUUCACGAAAUGCAGCUUCAAUGGAGGACAUCUGGGAAGAAU